rnacentral:rRNA from 1 species
UAGGGAAUCUUCCGCAAUGGACGAAAGUCUGACGGAGCAACGCCGCGUGAGUGAUGAAGGUUUUCGGAUCGUAAAGCUCUGUUAUUAGGGAAGAACAAGUACCUGUUGAAUAAGCAGGUACCUUGACGGUACCUAACCAGAAAGCCACGGCUAACUACGUGCCAGCAGCCGCGGUAAUACGUAGGUGGCAAGCGUUGUCCGGAAUUAUUGGGCGUAAAGCGCGCGCAGGCGGUUCCUUAAGUCUGAUGUGAAAGCCCACGGCUCAACCGUGGAGGGUCAUUGGAAACUGGGGAACUUGAGUGCAGAAGAGGAGAGCGGAAUUCCACGUGUAGCGGUGAAAUGCGUAGAGAUGUGGAGGAACACCAGUGGCGAAGGCGGCUCUCUGGUCUGUAACUGACGCUGAGGCGCGAAAGCGUGGGGAGCGAACAG